rnacentral:rRNA from 1 species
AACCAGCACCUCGAGUGGUCAGGGGGUUUACUGGGCCUAAAGCAUCCGUAGCCGGUUGCAUAAGUUUUCGGUUAAAUCUAUGCGCUCAACGUAUAGGCCGCCGAAAAUACUGUGCAGCUAGGGAGUGGGAGAGGUACACGGUACUCAAUAGGAAGGGGUAAAAUCCUUUGAUCUCUUGAUGACCACCUGUGGCGAAGGCGGUGUACCAGAACACGUUCGACGGUGAGGGACGAAAGCUGGGGGAGCAAACCGG